rnacentral:rRNA from 1 species
CUUUGAAAGUUGCUGAGGGUAUCCUUGCUUGUUAUUUGGGACGAGGCGCUGAUGACACACAGGAAAUGCUUUGAGGCUAUAGAUAGAACUUUGCAUGAUGUCCUCUCUGUGGCUAAUCUUGAUGUUGCAAAUAUUCCGUUCGGUGGAGUAGUGAUGGUCUUGGGUGGUGACCUUAGACAAAUCUUACCGGUCGUUGAGGGAGGUACUAGUCCUCAGAUCAUUGAUGUGGCAAUCACGAAUUCUCCAAUGUGGCAUUCCGUUCAAAAACUGUCGCUUUCUAUUAACAUGCGCUUGGGUGUGCAUGGUGCGGAUACCCAGGCACAGAAGGAUGUUGCCUUAUUUAGCAGAUGGGUGCUAGAUCUUGGGGAAGGGAAGUUGCCUGUCACAAGGCGAGGCGAUGAGGUCGAGGCUUCUUGGAUAUAGAUACUGGAUGACCUAUUGGUUUGUACAUCUGGUGAUCCAAUAGCUGCUAUUGUUUCUUCUGUGUAUGGUGAUUUUUUUGCAUAA